ACAGGAGAAAGAGGAGAGAGAGAGAGAGGGAGGGAGAGAGAGAGCGAGAGCGCAGAGGCGAGCUGGUGCACGCGAGAGAGGAUCGAGCGAGGGAGCAACAUGAGGACCUACUGGCUGCACAGUAUCUGGAUGCUGGGUUUCUUCCUGUCCCUGUUCUCCUUGCAAGGCUUUCUUUUUUCCAGAAACACCAGAGGUACUCCUGAACAUAUAUGGCAAACACAGAAUGACAAAGGUAAGUGAAGCUUCUUUUGUGGUCGAAUAUGAAUCAGCUGGCCAAUGUGACACAUGGAUUCUCAGACUGAAAAUACUACAGAUUCAUACCUAUUCUUGUUCCAUCCAAGUGCCUGGUUUGUGAGUCUUUACGCUGAAGAAUUAAACAACUGUAACAUUUUCUAAGAUGCAAAGAUACCAAAUAGCCUCAUUAUGUGUGUUGAGGCUUACUGAGUAACUGUGCCUUACUUUAUACUGAUUUCACAUAUGAAAACCCAGAUUUCCCCCCCCAAAAAAAAUGAAUGGAGGAUGCUUACUCACACUGUAAAAUGAUUCACUCUGGGAAUUCUUGAAAUAGCAAACACAUUUAUGACUUGAUUUAUGAUGGGGAGAGAAUGGGGGACAGGUCGCAUGGAACUUUCCCAGCAAAUAUCGGUGGCAUAAAUUGAAAUGCACCUGUUUGUAUUUUCUGGAACUUAUAGAUUAUCUCUGGAUCCCUUCAUAGAUAGAUACUGAAGUGUUGAGUUGUGAUUUGUUUGCUCUUUGGUUUUCUGGAGGCUUAAAAUUGCUCAGCUUCUUUGCUCCUAGAUUAUCCCCUUCACCUCAGCUAGAUGAGGCCUGAAUUUGAGAAUUGAAGAGAAUUAAUUUUUUUAAGCAUGCAGUGUGGAAGGUAGAUUUAGUUGGCAAGAAUGACAGUAAUGUUUUAAAAAGAGGGAAAGAAAUGUCUGUGAGAUAUUAAAAAUUUGGAAAAUCACUACUGGAAAAUUGGCAAUGAGAUCCAUGUAAGAGCCUCUGGUUUGAUCUGGUCAUCUUCCCUAAAAUUCUCUUUCUCUCAUUUUCUCUUUCUUUUCCUACAAUUCUAUGCAAGUUUUCUUGCAUAGCCUGCCAGCAAUUGGCAUAAACAGUAGGUUCUAGUCUAGGCUACUCUAAGGAACUAACUACAGGCACUAUGUGAGUUGGUGCAAGCUCUUCUGCCUUCCUAUAGGAGUGACCUACCUCCUUAUUUACACUAAUUAGCAUAAUAUGAAGUAGUCAAGUGGCUCUCUCUGAUCACCUGUUGGAGAAUUUUCCCCAGUGCCGCUGAUUCACUGUUUGAAUUCUAUCAUUGAUAUCCAUGUAUGAAGUUAUUAAUUAUGAAAUACAGUAGAACAGUCUUACAGUAAAAUACUUGUUUCCCAGACAAAGUUUCACUUGAAGGUCAUUGUUGCAAUUGACUCAUUGUGGUACAUUGUUACAAACUGAAAAUUUCAUUUCUUCCCCAUUGUUCAUUGAAUGCCUUGCCAGAUGAUUUACUGUUGUGUGUCAAAAUGAGCUUUGUUAUGUAUGGAAAAUGUGAGAUGAAUUUACUACUGUGCAUUAUGUAGAUUUCUAAUUCCAUGGAGUGAAGGGGGUGGAAUUAAGGUAAAGAAUACAGACAAGUUGGGCCUACUGUAAAUUGACUCAAUUUUUAUUUAAGUUCAAUCUAUUAGUUUUUUUCUAACUCUUAUUGAAUAAAAAGACAAGGCCUUGCUUUUAUAUUUUAAUUUUUACUGUGAAUAUCUGUUAUUUUUAUCUGCUACUAUAACACAGAAGUAAGAAAUGAGACUUGGCCUUGUUUCUAUAUGCUUUUACCAUGGAAGUUUAACAUUUCUCAUUUGAUUUAUAGUCAAAAACUGACUCAGUGUAUUCUGUAGAAAUUUUCCUCUCCAAGUACAAUCUUAGUGAUGGAUAGCUAUCUAGGUUAUUAGACACAGAGUAAGAGGAGUCUAGACCAACAGUCUGGAAUUGUCCUAAAAAAAUCUAAUGGGAAAUCAGUCCCACAGGAAAUCAGUAACCUUCUCUCUGGUAUCCAGGGAAUUUCUAACUUUGACUUCUUCCUUUGCUCUGUAAAGAAUGUUAUCUUCUUCAUUGUAGUAAUAAUGUAUAGUGCUUUCCCCUCCCUAGAAACAGUCAGCAACAGUCAACAAACAUUUAUUAGGCACCUGUCUAUAUCUAUGCUAAGUGUUGAGGCUGCAAAGUCAAAGACCAAAACUCCAGUACCAUCCCUAUUGGUUUCAUAUAGCUUAAAUUUUAAGAGACAAGAACAUAUAUUAUACAUCAAAUAAAUAUAAUGAGAACAAAUAUAAACACUUGAAGUAGUGAAAUGCAAGGAAAUUUGGGAGGAAGGGAAAUAAUUUUCAGGAUCAAAAAAAAGUUUUAUGUAUAUGAUGGUAUUUUGCUGGGUUUGGAGAAAAAGAUAUACUCUGAUAAAGAGGGAGUAUAUUCCAGGCAUGUGAGAUGUGCGCUGAAAAGGUAAAGAGGAAUGAUAUGUGUCAGGAAGAGGAGAGAAGGAUAUUUUGGCUGAAUCAAAGAAUACAAGAAGAGAAAUUAUAUCCCAUUAUUGAAAGAUAAGAUGGACUAAAGGAGUUUAGAUUUUAUCCUAAAGGCAAUUAGAAAUUGGUAUUAAGUGUAGGAGUUAUAUGAUAUGAUCGAUCCUUAGCAAAAUCAGUUUGACAGCAUAUGUGCCAUUGAGUAGGAAGAUUUUUGAGGAGGCCAUUAAGAGAGACUACUACAACCAACUGUGCAAACAGUGAUGAGGGCAUUAACUAAGGUUUACCUGUAUAAGUAGAAAAAGAGGUCAGAUAUGAGAAAUGUUAUAUAGAUAGAAUGAGGGAAAUUUGGCAACUGACUAAAUAAGCAGAGAAUAAAAUUAAAUGUGGAUCACCAAAUAAGCAUUUUAUACGCUAUUUGUGUAAUAUUUAUUAAUUCAUAGCUGUGUUGAUUUCCAGUUUCAACUUUAAAAAAAUUCUUCUUCUUACUUUUUACUUUUGGAUUUACAAUACUUUCCUUCUGUAGUAGACCUAGGGCAAACUCAUCAAGAAAGGUGAUUCCUAUUGGAUGUCUCUUAUAUCAUGAGUUCCCUCUAGCUGUACAUUCCUGGAGAAAUGAGAGAAUGCCUAUUAAAAACAACAACAAAAUAAGAACAGGGAAGAAGGGGAAAAAAUCAUCCCCCAAGCAGGAUUACAUUGGGAAUUGGCAGAGCACUUUCCACAGCCUCCUUAUCAUUAUCAUUAAAGCUAAUGUCAUUUCAUUCCCCAGUGAAAGAGGUUCCUCUGGGGGCCUUUUUGCCUUUUGACAGUGGAGACUAGUGUGUAGAUUAAUAUGAAUCUCUGCUUCUGCUAAUGACAACUUUUUGUAACAUUAAUAUUUCCUCCUCAGGAAAAUAUUUUUUUUUGACUUGAGGAUCUGAACUCUAAUUUUGUAACAGCUGGUUUGCUCAAGUAAUCAAGCAGUGCUUUUUUUUUUUAAUGUUCAAGCUAGAGUUUUGUAUUGGAAAGGGAGACUAGAAUUAUAAAUUGUCCCUGAAAACUGUGAUUUUGUCCACCUUUGAAACAGGAAAUAGAAAAUGAGGCAAUUAAUUGGAUAACAUAAGGGCAUAAGGGUGAGUUGUGGGAAGUUGGAAGAACUCAACCUCUUUCUGUUCAAAUUAUGAAGAUAAUUUCAGGUAAACAUGCUUUCUUGGACUAGAUUGUCUAGUAUUGUUAUCUCAUUUUGUCUAUACUCUAUGUCAAGAGUUUCCAGGUAAAUAUUGUACUCUAAUUUUUCUUAGAGGGAACAGAUUUAAUUUCUUUCUGUCUUUGCCGAUGUGCUGCAUUUCACAUCCAAACUAUUUAAUUACUUAAAUAAGUUUCUCACUAGAAACUACACCAAUCAAUUAAUGAAAGGAGCUGUUGUUUUUAUUGCUGUGGGGGGUUUUUGUGUGUGAAAAAUCAAACAGUAAUUUAUGGCCUCUCUUCUUUCCCUACAACAAAUGUCUAUAUGUCAACAUUGUUACCUCAAGCCCAGGAGAUUGUUAAGAAGAAUGCCAGGGCAGUCAAAAGUAAUCUAUAUUUUCUUAGGAAAAUAGUCACUAUGAUAUUCAUUUAUUUGAUUAACAUUUAUUAAACACCUGCUAUGUUCCAGGUGCUAUGCUAAGUGUAGGGGAAACAAAAAAGGGAAAAAAAUAGUCCCAGCCCUCAAGGAGCUUACAAUCUAAUGGAGAAAGAAAAAUGCAAAAAAAUAUACAAAGCAGGGUAUAUACCCACUAAAUAGGAAAUAACAAAAAGAUCAAGAGCACUAGAUUUAAGAGGGAUUGGGGAAGGCUUCCUAUAGAAGAUGGGAUUUUAGUUGCAACAGAAGGGAAGUGAAGAUUAGUAGUUGGAAGAGAGGAGAAAGCAUUCCAAACAUGGAGGCUGCCAAUGAGAAUGGUUGGACCAGAGAGAUGGAGUAUCUUGUUCAGGAAAGCAGUCUCCCUUUUUUGAACUUCGAUUUUUCAGUUCCAAAGUAAUCACUGUUCUCAGUUUUUAUUAUAUUGUUUCUAGAUUAAAAAUUAUUAAAUUAUAAAAUAAACAAAGUAUU